rnacentral:ncRNA from 1 species
UAUGAAUCAACACGGGAAACCUCACCUGCCCUGGACACGGACAGGAUUGACAGAUUGAUAGCUCUUUCUCCAUUCCGUGGGUGGUGGUGCAUGGCCAUUCUUAGUUGGUGGAGCCAUUUGUCUGCUUAAUUCCGAUAACUAACAAGACUCUGGCAUGCUAAUUAGUUACGUGGCCCCCACGUGGGGGAAAAAAAACCCAAAAAACCCCUCUACAUUCGAGAAAGGGCAAAACUACAGAGAUAGUAAAAAUAUCUGUGGUUGCCACGGGGUUGAUGGUAGGAAAGAUGGUGCACAGAUUUUCAGGG